rnacentral:tRNA from 1 species
GGGGCUGUGGCCCAGUGGAAGAGCCUCAGCUUUGCAUGCAGACGGUCUCAGGUUCAACCUCUGUUAUCUCCA